AGAGCCGUGGUGUAACGGCAACAUGCCGGCUUGUCGCGUCGGUGAUGCGGGUUCGAUUCCCGUCGGUUCUGCCA
rnacentral:tRNA from 1 species